rnacentral:tRNA from 1 species
GGGGAUUUAGCUCAGUGGUAGAGCACUUGCCUGGCAAGUGCAAGGCCCUGGAUUCGGUUCCCAGCUCCA